GAUGAACGCUGGCGGCAUGCCUAAUACAUGCAAGUCGAACGGUCCUUCACAGAGAAAUCUAAUCAUAGAUUCUUUUGUGAAGGAUAGUGGCGGACGGGUGAGGAAUACUUUGGAACCUACCCUUUAGUGAGGAAUAACUCUUUGAAAAAAGAGCUAAUACCGCAUGUGCAACUUCGGUUGUAAAGUCUUCGGACGCUAAAGGAGGGGCCUGAGUCUGAUUAGUUAGUUGGUGGGGUAAUGGCCUACCAAGACAACGAUCAGUAGCUGGUUUGAGAGGAUGAUCAGCCACACUGGAACUGAGACACGGUCCAGACUCCUACGGGAGGCAGCAGUAGGGAAUAUUCCACAAUGGACGAAAGUCUGAUGGAGCAAUGCCGCGUGUAGGAUGACACCUUUAGGGGCGUAAACUACUUUUAUUAUCGAAGAUUAUGACGGUAGAUAAUGAAUAAGGAUCGGCUAACUACGUGCCAGCAGCCGCGGUUAAAGUCACAUGUG
rnacentral:rRNA from 1 species